GUCCCACUAUUAUGUGCAGGCUUGGCAUUUUGCACUGGGCUAUAGAACUACAAAAUGAAUUUUAAAUUAGAAAUAUCAUAAUUGAAUGACAUUUUGAAUUAUGUAGUGAUCUAAUUCUAUCCACCAAACAAUUGCAUGUGAAUGUGUGAGAAUUAUGGUCAUGGUUAUAGGGAAAUAACAAGAAGAACAAAGUGCAGUAAACGGUAAAACUGUUUGCACUACAAACCAGUUCGUUCAUAAUUAAGACAAUACAUUAAAAAUAACAUGGUAAGAUACAGCAGUUUGCAACAGUAAACAGCAAAACAAGCUGUUUGUACAGCUAAUAUAGCUGGAAUGACACCGAAAGCCAGACACAUUACAUUUACAAAUGGCCGCGGCCCCUCUUACAGAAAAAAAAAUAAGGGGCAUAUGUUUAUUCAUAUGUUUAUUUAUGUAACGUAAGAGUGUGACUUUUAAUUCGUGACGUGCUUUCAUGGGCGUGCGCCGCGCGCGGACCGGAUGGAGUUGCCAUGGAAACGGAGCGCAACACUGCAAAUGUCACGAGGAAACACCCCGUUUCUCGCUGAUUUCACUGUUUUCAGGAAUGGUUUAAUGUCUUCGAAAAAGUCCGUUAGCAUUUCUACCGUUUUCAGACGACGUAUCGUCAGAAGGGAGUGUCCAAGAUUUCAAUAUUUCUGAAGGGAGCUGCUGACAGAGAUGUAGGAAGCGCUGAAAAGAUUCUUCAGUGCUGAUGGCCUGCUGCAUCCAGCAGAGUCGCAGUGAACCUACUGUAAGACAACAUCUCCAAGAUGCUAUUGACCACAAGACUAGUACAGGUUAUUAGAAACUGCACAGCACAGGACUUGUGAGGACUUCAGAUGAUACCAGUACUCAAAAGACCUUAGAUGAUGGCAACUAUAGAUGGACAUACAAACUACCGCCACUGCAAAAAAGAUUCUAAUUUGAAAGAUGUUUAUAAUGCAUGUUCGCUACUCCCAAUUCAGAAGACUGAAUCAGCCUGUGUAUCUGAAUGUUUCUCAUACUCACUCCUCUCUGCCACGUCUGAAUUUAGCUGUCAGUUAUAAACAUCAAAAUUAAAAGAAAUAAACAUUUGAAAUAUAUCAGUCUGUGUGUAAUGAAUAAAUAUAAUACACAAGUUUCACUUUUUGAAUGGAAUUAGUGAAAUAAAUCAACUUUUUGAUGAUAUUCUAAUUAUAUGACCAGCACCUGUAUAUCAUUGCUCUUUUGUUGAUUUUGAUUGCUUCCAUUGUCCUCAUUUGUAAGUUGCUUUGGAUAAAAGUGUCUGCUUAAUGUAAAUGUAAUGUUAAUGUGUAUUUAACUAUAUUUAUAAAUAUUUAUCUGUAUUUUUUAUUUUGUAAUAAUGUAAAUGUAUUUGUUUUAUAUCUAUACAUGCAGUUGUAUUCAUGUAUGUAUAUUUAUUUGUCUAAUUUUUAUAUUUUAAUAAAGCAGUUUAGACUACAUGAGUGUUUUCUUUAUUCUGGAUGAAUUACAUAUUCUUUUGUGUCUAGAAAGGGUU